UACGGAGGGGCUAGCGUUGUUCGGAAUUACUGGGCGUAAAGCGCACGUAGGCGGCUUUGCAAGUUAGAGGUGAAAGCCCGGGGCUCAACUCCGGAAUUGCCUUUAAAACUGCAUCGCUAGAAUUGUGGAGAGGUAAGUGGAAGUUCCGAGUGUAGAGGUGAAAUUCGUAGAUAUUCGGAAGAACACCAGUGGCGAAGGCGACUUACUGGACACAUAUUGACGCUGAGGUGCGAAAGCGUGGGGAGCAAACAGGG
rnacentral:rRNA from 1 species